rnacentral:rRNA from 1 species
CCUACGGGGGGCUGCAGUGGGGAAUAUUGGGCAAUGGGCGCAAGCCUGACCCAGCAACGCCGCGUGACGGAAGCAGGCUUUCGGGUUGUAAACUUCUUUUAAGAGGGAAGAGAAGAAGACGGUACCUCUUGAAUAAGCCACGGCUAACUACGUGCCAGCAGCCGCGGUCAUACGUAGGUGGCAAGCGUUGUCCGGAUUUACUGGGUGUUAAGGGCGUGCAGCCGGGCGGAAAAGUCAGAUGUGAAAUCCCGCGGCGGAACCGCGGAACUGCAUUUGACACUGUCAGUUUGGAGUACCGGAGAGGUCAGCGGAAUUCGUUGUGGAGCGGUGAAAUGCGUAGAUAUAAGGAAGAACACCAGUGGCGAAGGCGGAUGACUGGACGGCAACUGACGGUGAGGCGCGAAAGCGGGGGGAGCAAACAGGAUUAGAUACCCGAGUAGUC